CAUCUUCUCCAAGAGAAAAGAAGAGAAAAAAAACAAGAGCCAGUAAGGCUCCCCACGCAUCAUUCUUUUUUUAGUAACAUUAAUAUUUGCAUUUGGUUGUCUUUACCAAGUAAUUCAGAGACAUGGGAUCGGAGAGCUCUCAGCCGUCUUCUCCUCCUCCUCCUCCUCCUCCUCCUCCUCAUCCUCCUCCUCCUCCUCCUCAACCACGUGGAGGUAAAGAACCAGCCAUAGACUAUCAGGUGGAUAUUAAUUCGACAUCGAUGCUCUACACAGUAAAAGGCUUCCCAUAGGCAAAUGGUGAAGUGGUUCAUACAUAGGACAUCUUAUAUAUCGCGGUCUGCUGUCAACUAAUAACAUCAAUAUUAUUAUUAUGUAUAACAAUUAAGCUCUUCCAUUAAAGUUCUAUAUAUGUACUUCCAGAAUCGAGAGCUUUGUUAUGUCUGUCCCCUAGCAGACCUGGUAUGUAUUUGUAAUUUUAGUGAAUUUUAAUUUUAUUGUGUGUAUAUAUAUAUUGAGCUCUUAAGAAGAUGAAAAAUCGAUAACUCACUAGAUUUACUGUAUUAUUGAAACAAGAAAUAACCGUCAACUUUAAAAUCUUGCAUGGAGAGAGAGUACCGGCUG
rnacentral:lncRNA from 1 species